AACACGUGAGUAAUCUGCCGGGAAGUGGGGGAUAGCUCGCCGAAAGGCGAAUUAAUACCGCAUAUGACAAGGGAAGACAUCUUUCCGAAGUCAAAGUCGCAAGACGCUUCCUGAUGAGCUCGCGGCCUAUCAGCUAGUUGGUGAGGUAACGGCUCACCAAGGCAAUGACGGGUAGCUGGUCUGAGAGGACGACCAGCCACACUGGAACUGAGACACGGUCCAGACACCUACGGGUGGCAGCAGUCGAGAAUUUUUCACAAUGGGGGAAACCCUGAUGGAGCGACGCCGCGUGGAGGAUGAAGGUCUUCGGAUUGUAAACUCCUGUCAUGCGAGAACAAGAAAGUGAUAGUAUCGCAAGAGGAAGAGACGGCUAACUCUGUGCCAGCAGCCGCGGUAAUACAGAGGUCUCAAGCGUUGUUCGGAUUCAUUGGGCGUAAGGGUGCGUAGGUGGCGUGGAAAGUUGAGUGUGAAAUCCUAGGGCUUAACCUUAGAACUGCACUCAAUACUCCCAUGCUAGAGGAAUGUAGAGGAGAGUGGAAUUCACGGUGUAGCAGUGAAAUGCGUAGAUAUCGUGAGGAAGACCAGUUGCGAAGGCGACUCUCUGGGCAUUUCCUGACACUGAGGCACGAAGGCCAGGGGAGCAAAUGGGAUUAGAUACCCCGGUAGUCCUGGCAGUAAACGGUGCACGUUUGGUGUGGGCGGGCUCAGACCCCGUCCGUGCCGGAGCUAACGCGUUAAACGUGCCGCCUGGGAAGUACGGUCGCAAGAUUAAAACUCAAAGAAAUUGACGGGGGCCCGCACAAGCGGUGGAGUAUGUGGCUUAAUUCGAUGCAACGCGAAAAACCUUACCUACCCUUGACAUGUCACUAACGAAGUAGAGAUACAUUAGGCGCCCGUAAGGGAAAGUGAACACAGGUGCUGCAUGGCUGUCGUCAGCUCGUGUCGUGAGAUGUUGGGUUAAGUCCCGCAACGAGCGCAACCCUUGUCUUUAGUUGCUACGAAAGAGCACUCUAAAGAGACUGCCGGUGACAAACCGGAGGAAGGUGGGGAUGACGUCAAGUCCUCAUGGCCCUUAUGGGUAGGGCUUCACACGUCAUACAAUGGUGCGUACAGAGGGUUGCCAACCCGCGAGGGGGAGCUAAUCUCUUAAAACGCAUCGUAGUCCGGAUCGUAGUCUGCAACUCGACUACGUGAAGCUGGAAUCGCUAGUAAUCGCGGAUCAGCAUGUCGCGGUGAAUACGUUCCCGGGUCUUGUACACACCGCCCGUCACACCAUGGGAGUGGGUUUUGCCAGAAGCAGUUAGCCUAACCGCAAGGGGGGCGAUUGCCACGGCAGGGUUCAUGACUGGGGUGAAGUCGUACAAGGUAAC
rnacentral:rRNA from 1 species